rnacentral:rRNA from 1 species
UACAGAGGUGGCAAGCGUUGUUCGGAAUUACUGGGCGUAAAGGGCGCGUAGGCGGUCUUGUAAGUCUCGUGUGAAAUCCCUCGGCUUAACUGAGGAACUGCACGGGAUACUGCAUGACUUGAGGUCGGGAGGGGGAAGCGGAAUUCCGGGUGUAGCGGUGAAAUGCGUAGAUAUCCGGAGGAACACCGGUGGCGAAGGCGGCUCCUGGACCGACUCGUGGACGCUGAGGCGCGGAAAGC